CAUGAAGCAACUUCCUGGAUGGUGUGUAAGUCUAGAUCUGUUUGUCAACAUGUGAAAUCUACAUGUAUUUCGGGGAGUAGUCUCCCCUGUUAAAGAUCAAUAAUGGUGGAUAUACAAUGUGGGAUGCAGUCUGGUCAUCAAGAGAGAGUUUUGACACCCGUAUACAUGUAUUUCUACCAAUCACCUCCGUAACCUUUGUUGUGUUCAUCAGACAGAUGAUGGACCACUCUACUUCCUUUUACAACAGUGCCCCUGCAGAUUCACGAAGUUCCAAUGUUGAGUUUCCAUGACCCCUAUUCAUCCACGACAGGAAAAGGAAUAAAGUUGACAGGACUUCCCACACUGUCCUUUGUAGCAACUUACGAUGGAACUGACAGCAGUAGACAUAGUCCGCUUCAUCAAAG